rnacentral:rRNA from 1 species
GAUUAACGCUAGCGGCAGGCAUAAUACAUGCAAGUUGAACGAGAUAAGUUUUAGCAAUAGAACUUUGAAAGUGGCGCACGGGUGCGUAACACGUAUGCAACCUACCUUUUACUGGGGAAUAGCCUCUCGAAAGAGAGAUUAAUACCCCAUAAUAUAUUGAUAAGGCAUCUUAUUAAUAUUAAAGUUACGGCGGUAAAAGAUGGGCAUGCGGCUGAUUAGGUAGUUGGGGAGGUAAUGGCUCACCAAGCCGACGAUCAGUAGGGGGCUGAGAGGAUGUCCCCCCACACUGGUACUGAGACACGGACCAGACUCCUACGGGAGGCAGCAGUAGGGAAUAUUGGACAAUGGGCGCAAGCCUGAUCCAGCCAUGCCGCGUGCAGGAUGAAGGCCCUAUGGGUCGUAAACUGCUUUUGUACCGGAAGAAACCUCACUACGUGUAGUGAGUUGACGGUACCGUGAGAAUAAGGAUCGGCUAACUUCGUGCCAGCAGCCGCCGUAA